AUUUUUUCAUUUCAUUUCUCAACCUCAGAAGGUUUUAGGUUUUUUACUCUCUCUCUCUUUCAUGUCUUCUCGAUCUGCUCUGAAGAAGAGUUUCUGUUCUGAAGAAAUCCAACCAGCUGAAAGCAUCAAUCUGGGUUUUUAGGUCAUCUGUGAGAUUCAGAAGCAUCGAUCUGAUAAUCAGGUGACGCUUCAGAGUUUUAUCAUAGCCAUAAUUGGGCCUUCAGUAGCACUUGUGAUUUCAUGGACAACAACAAUGAGGGCAAUUAUACAAUUGAUCGUGCAAAUACAUCACUCUAGAUGACCCAGAGUUAUACUUAACAACACGAAUAUCUCCUCUCUCUCUAACUUAUUAUGAGUUUUGUUUGCUUAAUGGUAAUUACAUAGUCAAACUCCACUUUGUUGAGAUAAUAUUGAUGCUAAUGUCUCGUAUGGAAGUCUUGGGAGGCGUGUAUUUGACGUCUACGUUUAGGUAACUAGCACCAUCAUUUUGAGAAGUUUUAAUCGUUGGACUAACUUAUGAUAUUCUGUAUAUAACUUGAUAGUUAUUGUAGGGAAAACUAGAGUUGAAAGAUUUUGAUAUUGUGAAAGCAGCGGGUGGGGUUUGAUAAGGUACAUAUUGAAAUUUUACCUGCAGUUGUGACUAGUAAUACCCUGGAAAUUCAGUGAAGCCAAAAGCACCUUUAGUAGUUCUGUUCAUGGUGGUGCUUCUGCUUCUACAAUUGGUGGCAGUGCUAGAAAUAAAUUCCUACCCCAAAAACAACAACAGCAUCACCAUCAGCAACAACACAUCAGUACAGUGUCACAACUUCUUGCUGGUGGAAUUGUAGGAGCUAUCAGUAAAACUUGUACUGCUCCUCUUGCUCGCCUCACCAUUCUCUUUCAGGUUCAAGGUAUGCACACAGAUGUUGCGAAUCUAAACAAGGCUAAUAUGGAGGGAGGCGUCAUGGAUUGUAUCAGAAGAAGGUUUUAGAGCACUCUGUCGCUGCAGUCAAUUCCUGGAUUAGAGAGGCGUAGGGAAAAUGUUACUUCUGAUCUUUUUGUACGAUUGGUGGGUGGAGGGUUGGCAGCGAUAACAACUGCAUCCAUUACUUAUCCACUAGAUCUUGUGAGGACGCGACUUGCGGCACACGUGAGACAUGAGCUGCAGGGGAAUUUUCUUUACCUUCCCGUUAUACAGAUGCCGUUGUGUUUAGACAUUAACUUGUGUGGCUAAAGUUUUCUCAUGUGUUUGGUCAUUUCUUAAACUUUUUUCGUAUCUCCGUGUUAUCUACAUUAGCUCUUUUCCGGUGUAGAAUUAUCAUUUAACUAUUCAGUUCAACUAAUGGCUUUAUACACAUACUUAGGCUCACUACUUUAGUUCUUAACCGAACCAAAGAACUAAAAUCAAAUCAAAGGAUCCCUAAUGGAAAACUCAUCUUUUUUCACCAGGAGCUACAUGUCUGAGGGAUUAUGACAGUGCGGGUUAUUUUCUUCUACUACGGUCUUUGAAUUUUGAUGAUCAGGACCUCACGGAAAGAAGAUAGGUGUUUUGGUGGACAUUAUAGUUGUUUCCGUAUUUUGUUUUGUGUGCAUUAUUUUGGGUGCUCUUUGGUGGAAGGGUUAUUUGGCGAGAAAAAAAUGAGAUCGAUUAAGAUAUGAGUGUCCAGGGGUAGAAGGUUUUAUGGAAUCACAUCUCCGCGCUUUUGGUGAAAGAGAACGCUGGAACGUUGAAGUUUUAUUGCGGAUGUUGACAAAGCUGCUUCCGUUCGUGCACCGAAAGUGAUUGAGACUUGCUCAUUUCCCUCAGCAAUGAGAUCUCUUCUACAUCUUCUGAAACAUGGGGAUUCUUCUCAAUCUCCAUGUUCGAAUUGCAUGCAGGGUAUUUGGGCUCAAGUCAAAAAGCAGUAUUGUGGUGAUAUUUUAGCAGCAGCUGAAUCUGUGUAUAAUUUGCUGAGGAAAUUGGUUAAGCAAGUCUCGUGAUACUUCUGGUGAUAUUUUAGUCUUUCUUUUCAUGUUUUUCAAUGCCUCUGUCAGUUGACACAAACUAGGUUACCCAUCCAUUUAUGAACAUCAAAAAAUAUCAAAUAUUGCAAGUCAGUCACAAAAUUUUAGCUUCAGUAAGUUUAC